rnacentral:rRNA from 1 species
GCCUAACACAUGCAGUCGAGCGGCAGCACGGGAAGCUUGCUUCCUGGUGGCGAGCGGCGGACGGGUGAGUAAUGCAUAGGAAUCUGCCCGGUAGUGGGGGAUAACCUGGGGAAACCCAGGCUAAUACCGCAUACGUCCUACGGGAGAAAGCAGGGGCUCUUCGGACCUUGCGCUAUCGGAUGAGCCUAUGUCGGAUUAGCUGGUUGGUGAGGUAAUGGCUCACCAAGGCGACGAUCCGUAGCUGGUCUGAGAGGAUGAUCAGCCACAUCGGGACUGAGACACGGCCCGAACUCCUACGGGAGGCAGCAGUGGGGAAUAUUGGACAAUGGGCGCAAGCCUGAUCCAGCCAUGCCGCGUGUGUGAAGAAGGCCUUCGGGUUGUAAAGCACUUUCAGUGGGGAAGAAAGCCUGGUGGUUAAUACCCGCCAGGAAGGACAUCACCCACAGAAGAAGCACCGGCUAACUCCGUGCCAGCAGCCGCGGUAAUACGGAGGGUGCGAGCGUUAAUCGGAAUUACUGGGCGUAAAGCGCGCGUAGGUGGCUUGAUAAGCCGGUUGUGAAAGCCCCGGGCUCAACCUGGGAACGGCAUCCGGAACUGUCAGGCUAGAGUGCAGGAGAGGAAGGUAGAAUUCCCGGUGUAGCGGUGAAAUGCGUAGAGAUCGGGAGGAAUACCAGUGGCGAAGGCGGCCUUCUGGACUGACACUGACACUGAGGUGCGAAAGCGUGGGUAGCAAACAGGAUUAGAUACCCUGGUAGUCCACGCCGUAAACGAUGUCGACUAGCCGUUGGGUCCUUCGCGGACUUUGUGGCGCAGUUAACGCGAUAAGUCGACCGCCUGGGGAGUACGGCCGCAAGGUUAAAACUCAAAUGAAUUGACGGGGGCCCGCACAAGCGGUGGAGCAUGUGGUUUAAUUCGAUGCAACGCGAAGAACCUUACCUACCCUUGACAUCCUGCGAACCCUUCGGAGACGAAGGGGUGCCUUCGGGAACGCAGAGACAGGUGCUGCAUGGCUGUCGUCAGCUCGUGUUGUGAAAUGUUGGGUUAAGUCCCGUAACGAGCGCAACCCUUGUCCUUAUUUGCCAGCGAGUAAUGUCGGGAACUCUAAGGAGACUGCCGGUGACAAACCGGAGGAAGGUGGGGACGACGUCAAGUCAUCAUGGCCCUUACGGGUAGGGCUACACACGUGCUACAAUGGUCGGUACAAAGGGUUGCGAACUUGCGAAAGUAAGCUAAUCCCAUAAAGCUGAUCUCAGUCCGGAUCGGAGUCUGCAACUCGACUCCGUGAAGUCGGAAUCGCUAGUAAUCGUGAAUCAGAAUGUCACGGUGAAUACGUUCCCGGGCCUUGUACACACCGCCCGUCACACCAUGGGAGUGGACUGCACCAGAAGUGGUUAGCCUAACCUUCGGGAGGGCGAUCACCCACGGUGUGGUUCAUGACUGGGGGAAGUCG